rnacentral:rRNA from 1 species
AUGUUACUAUGGAUUUCAUUUCUGGUCUGCCAGUCUCAGGUCAAUUUGAUUGCAUAUUCUUGGUUAUUGACAAGUUCAGUUGCUGAAGUGUUCCUAUAUAAUGUGUACAAGUUGCAUGGGAUGCCAGAGUAUAUAGUGUCAGACAGAGACCCUAUUUUCACUAGUGCAUUUUGGCAAACCUUGGUCAAAAGAACUGGCACCCAGCUUAAUAUGAGUACUGCUUACCAUCCAGCUACUGAUGGGCAGACUGAGAGAGUGAAUCAACAAGUUGAGUGUUAUCUCAGGAGUUUUAUCAGUGCACAUCCUAAAUAA